UCUUCCGCAAUGGACGAAAGGCUGACGGAGCAACGCCGCGUGAGUGAUGAGGGUUUUCGGAUCGUAAAACUCCGUUGUUAGGGAAGAACAAGUACCGUUCGAAUAGGGCGGUACCUUGACGGUACCUAACCAGAAAGCCACGGCUAACUACGUGCCAGCAGCCGCGGUAAGACGUAGGUGGCAAGCGUUGUCCGGAAUUAUUGGGCGUAAAGCGCGCGCAGGCGGUUUCUUAAGUCUGAUGUGAAAGCCCCCGGCUCAACCGGGGAGGGUCAUUGGAAACUGGGGAACUUGAGUGCAGAAGAGGAGAGUGGAAUUCCACGUGUAGCGGUGAAAUGCGUAGAGAUGAUGAGGAACACCAGUGGCGUAGGCGACUCUCUGGUCUGUAACUGACGCUGAGGCGCGAAAGCGUGGGGAGCGAACAG
rnacentral:rRNA from 1 species